rfam:Glycine soja cultivar W05 scaffold1441_1, whole genome shotgun sequence.
UUCUUAUCGGAUGAUAACUGUUACAUGUCAUGUUUUCUGAUUGGAUGUCAACUCCAGGAAAGAUAAAAUGCAUUACUGUUUUCAUUGAUCAACCUGACAGUCAUCAUCUAAUAAGAAUGUAACAUGUGACAGUCAACAUCA